AACGAACGCUGGCGGCAGGCCUAACACAUGCAAGUCGAACGCUGUAGCAAUACAGAGUGGCAGACGGGUGAGUAACACGUGGGAACAUACCCUUCGGUUCGGAAUAACUCAGGGAAACUUGAGCUAAUACCGGAUACGUGCGAGAGCAGAAAGAUUCAUCGCCGAAGGAUUGGCCCGCGUUCGAUUAGCUUGUUGGUGAGGUAAUGGCUCACCAAGGCGACGAUCGAUAGCUGGUCUGAGAGGAUGAUCAGCCACAUUGGGACUGAGACACGGCCCAAACUCCUACGGGAGGCAGCAGGU
rnacentral:rRNA from 1 species